ACAUUGGUCGGUCACAGUAUUUUCCUUAACAACUCCAUAUUUUUGGCAAAUUUCUGUAAACUUAUCCUUGAAUUCUGAAACCACACUUAGUCCUUGGUCAACUUCCUGUUGACAUUCUUGAAAUGAAAAUCUAGUCAGUAUAAACUGUGUCAAAUAUACUAAAUAUAUUUGUCAUACUGAACAGUUUCAGUACAUUCUCCAUUUACAAUUGUAUGGAAUUUAAAAAGUAAGGAAGACUUUGCCAAGGGAUAGGUGUUUUCUUCUGUUUUUUCCUCUUAGUCAAAGGCCCCUAGGCUGCAAUACAACUCUGGAAUCUAACCUCAUAUACAUAUAGUGAAAGUACAGUGGUCAGGCACUCCUCCUUAUUGCCAUGUUAUCUAGCAAGUAGAGACCUAAGAAGGCAGAGUAGCCUGUGGAAAACAGUUCAUCCUGACUAAAAAGUUGUCUUUAUCCAUGCCAGGGACAGGGUAUAUGACUCUCAUCUUGGGUUGGGCCAGGAGACACCCCUGGGGAGGGUAGAGGUUGGGUGUGCUAGAGAUGUGUAUUACUUGGUUAUGGUUUAUGGCCUCUUUCUACCACCAAUUUUGGUAUUUUUGUUUUUUGGUUUCUUGGUUUGGUUUGUUUUUUAUGUAGUUCAGACUGACUUUGGACUCUCUAUAUAGCCCAGAUUGGCCUCAAACUUGUGGUGAUCUUCCUGCCUCAGCCCCUGGGAUUACAGAGUGCUGAAUAAUACACACUUUGUAAAAUAUGGAUGAAGAACCUGAAAGAACUAAGCGAUGGGAAGGAGGCUAUGAGGGAGCUUGCUUUUGAGGAAGAAUCAGAUAAGCCAUCAGCAGUAAUCGCAGUACCUGGUAUAGAAGGACGAAUCUGCCAUAUUUUCCAGCACAUGAAAGAACACUUACAUCAAGUUAGAAUUGCAAGAAAACAGAGUUUCAGAGUUUUACCAACCAUUAGUGAUACUGCAUCUGAAAAUUCUGAUUCUAAUUGAAAUAUAAUAUAGGUAACAUGUUUCAUCUGUAAAUGCCAAAAUGAAUCUGGUCAACUAACAUACAAUUUGCAUUGCUAAAUAUAGUAAUAUAAUCGACAGUGUUAUAGAAUUGAUGUUGAUACUAGCAAUACUGCACUACAUGUUCAUUUUAUUUGAUUCUUAUCAUGUCUUAUAGCUUUUGACUCUCAGAUGUAUGACUUUAGGAAACAAUAUAGGUACAAUUUUGAAUAUGUUUUUGAUUUAAAUAUAUAUAAUGUAUGUUUCCAGAUUAAACGAGUUGCAUGCUUACUUUUCCACAAUAAUUUAUAUGUUGUUUUUCCUUUUAAUCUUGCUUUGCUUAUGUUUUCUAUCUGAAUGAAAUAUAGACACACAUAUACAUAUAUAUGUAUAUAUAUAGGAAUAUUUGUAUUUAUAUGUAUGUAUAUACUUUUCCUUCCAUUGUUGCCUUAAAAUCACCUUAUUUCACUAUUAUGAUUCUGAUUUGGAUCAGAAUAAGGAAAAAUAAAGUAAAUAUCUAAUACUGAUCUUGACUGUUCUUUUGUAACAUAAAUGAGAUUGUAAAGUAUAGCAAAGGAAUAAUAAAAACUUUAUUUAAAGAUGUCCUGAAUUUUCAUCUUAAUGAAAUAUACCAUGUAUUUUUAUGCAGUUUAAUUACUUAUCCUUUCAAUAAAAGCAGUAUUUCUUACCAAAAAAAG
rnacentral:lncRNA from 1 species